GUUAAGCGACUAAGCGUACACGGUGGAUGCCCUGGCAGUCAGAGGCGAUGAAGGACGUGCUAAUCUGCGAUAAGCGUCGGUGAGGUGAUAUGAACCGUUAUAACCGGCGAUUUCCGAAUGGGGAAACCCAGUGUGUUUCGACACACUAUCAUUAACUGAAUCCAUAGGUUAAUGAGGCGAACCGGGGGAACUGAAACAUCUAAGUACCCCGAGGAAAAGAAAUCAACCGAGAUUCCCCCAGUAGCGGCGAGCGAACGGGGAGGAGCCCAGAGCCUGAAUCAGUGUGUGUGUUAGUGGAAGCGUCUGGAAAGGCGCGCGAUACAGGGUGACAGCCCCGUACACAAAAAUGCACAUAUUGUGAGCUCGAUGAGUAGGGCGGGACACGUGGUAUCCUGUCUGAAUAUGGGGGGACCAUCCUCCAAGGCUAAAUACUCCUGACUGACCGAUAGUGAACCAGUACCGUGAGGGAAAGGCGAAAAGAACCCCGGCGAGGGGAGUGAAAAAGAACCUGAAACCGUGUACGUACAAGCAGUGGGAGCCUCUUAAUGGGGUGACUGCGUACCUUUUGUAUAAUGGGUCAGCGACUUAUAUUCUGUAGCAAGGUUAACCGAAUAGGGGAGCCGAAGGGAAACCGAGUCUUAACUGGGCGUUAAGUUGCAGGGUAUAGACCCGAAACCCGGUGAUCUAGCCAUGGGCAGGUUGAAGGUUGGGUAACACUAACUGGAGGACCGAACCGACUAAUGUUGAAAAAUUAGCGGAUGACUUGUGGCUGGGGGUGAAAGGCCAAUCAAACCGGGAGAUAGCUGGUUCUCCCCGAAAGCUAUUUAGGUAGCGCCUCGUGAAUUCAUCUCCGGGGGUAGAGCACUGUUUCGGCAAGGGGGUCAUCCCGACUUACCAACCCGAUGCAAACUGCGAAUACCGGAGAAUGUUAUCACGGGAGACACACGGCGGGUGCUAACGUCCGUCGUGAAGAGGGAAACAACCCAGACCGCCAGCUAAGGUCCCAAAGUCAUGGUUAAGUGGGAAACGAUGUGGGAAGGCCCAGACAGCCAGGAUGUUGGCUUAGAAGCAGCCAUCAUUUAAAGAAAGCGUAAUAGCUCACUGGUCGAGUCGGCCUGCGCGGAAGAUGUAACGGGGCUAAACCAUGCACCGAAGCUGCGGCAGCGACGCUUAUGCGUUGUUGGGUAGGGGAGCGUUCUGUAAGCCUGCGAAGGUGUGCUGUGAGGCAUGCUGGAGGUAUCAGAAGUGCGAAUGCUGACAUAAGUAACGAUAAAGCGGGUGAAAAGCCCGCUCGCCGGAAGACCAAGGGUUCCUGUCCAACGUUAAUCGGGGCAGGGUGAGUCGACCCCUAAGGCGAGGCCGAAAGGCGUAGUCGAUGGGAAACAGGUUAAUAUUCCUGUACUUGGUGUUACUGCGAAGGGGGGACGGAGAAGGCUAUGUUGGCCGGGCGACGGUUGUCCCGGUUUAAGCGUGUAGGCUGGUUUUCCAGGCAAAUCCGGAAAAUCAAGGCUGAGGCGUGAUGACGAGGCACUACGGUGCUGAAGC
rnacentral:rRNA from 1 species